GGUGACAGCCCCGUACACAAAAGCGCAUAUGCUGUGAGCUCGAUGAGUAGGGCGGGACACGUGGUAUCCUGUCUGAAUAUGGGGGGACCAUCCUCCAAGGCUAAAUACUCCUGACUGACCGAUAGUGAACCAGUACCGUGAGGGAAAGGCGAAAAGAACCCCGGCGAGGGGAGUGAAAAAGAACCUGAAACCGUGUACGUACAAGCAGUGGGAGCACCCUUUUGGGUGUGACUGCGUACCUUUUGUAUAAUGGGUCAGCGACUUAUAUUCUGUAGCAAGGUUAACCGAAUAGGGGAGCCGGAGGGAAACCGAGUCUUAAUUGGGCGUUAAGUUGCAGGGUAUAGACCCGAAACCCGGUGAUCUAGCCAUGGGCAGGUUGAAGGUUGGGUAACACUAACUGGAGGACCGAACCGACUAAUGUUGAAAAAUUAGCGGAUGACCUGUGGCUGGGGGUGAAAGGCCAAUCAAACCGGGAGAUAGCUGGUUCUCCCCGAAAGCUAUUUAGGUAGCGCCUCGUGAAUUCAUCUCCGGGGGUAGAGCACUGUUUCGGCUAGGGGGCCAUCCCGGCUUACCAACCCGAUGCAAACUGCGAAUACCGGAGAAUGUUAUCACGGGAGACACACGGCGGGUGCUAACGUCCGUCGUGAAGAGGGAAACAACCCAGACCGCCAGCUAAGGUCCCAAAGUCAUGGUUAAG
rnacentral:rRNA from 1 species